CCUACGGGAGGCAGCAGUGGGGAAUUUUGGACAAUGGGCGCAAGCCUGAUCCAGCCAUGCCGCGUGUGGGAAGAAGGCCUUCGGGUUGUAAACCACUUUUGUCAGGGAAGAAACGGCUCUUACUAAUAUUAGGGGCUAAUGACGGUACCUGAAGAAUAAGCACCGGCUAACUACGUGCCAGCAGCCGCGGUAAUACGUAGGGUGCAAGCGUUAAUCGGAAUUACUGGGCGUAAAGCGUGCGCAGGCGGCUUUGCAAGACAGAUGUGAAAUCCCCGGGCUCAACCUGGGAACUGCAUUUGUGACUGCAUGGCUAGAGUACGGUAGAGGGGGAUGGAAUUCCGCGUGUAGCAGUGAAAUGCGUAGAUAUGCGGAGGAACACCGAUGGCGAAGGCAAUCCCCUGGACCUGUACUGACGCUCAUGCACGAAAGCGUGGGGAGCAAACAGGAUUAGAUACCCUGGUAGUCCACGCCCUAAACGAUGUCAACUGGUUGUUGGACGGCUUGCUGUUCAGUAACGAAGCUAACGCGUGAAGUUGACCGCCUGGGGGUAAGGUACGGCCGCGAGUAGUUAACGUUACGAAGAAGUUAGAGGCGNGAGACGNGCGACGGACGACGACGAGGGAGGAGG
rnacentral:rRNA from 1 species